UGAGACAAGAGAAUUGCUUGAACCCAGGAAGUGGAGGUUGCAGUGAGCCGAGAUCAAGCCACUGCACUCCAGCCUGGGUGACAGAGCAAGACUCCAG
ensembl:miRNA